CCUACGGGAGGCUGCAGUGAGGAAUAUUGGUCAAUGGGCGUAAGCCUGAACCAGCCAAGUCGCGUGAGGGAUGAAGGUUCUAUGGGUUGUAAACUUCUUUUAUAUGGGAAUAAAAUGUUCCACGUGUGGGAUUUUGUAUGUACCAUAUGAAUAAGGAUCGGCUAACUCCGUGCCAGCAGCCGCGGUAAUACGGAGGAUCCGAGCGUUAUCCGGAUUUAUUGGGUUUAAAGGGAGCGUAGGUGGAUUGUUAAGUCAGUUGUGAAAGUUUGCGGCUCAACCGUAAAAUUGCAGUUGAAACUGGCAGUCUUGAGUACAGUAGAGGUGGGCGGAAUUCGUGGUGUAGCGGUGAAAUGCUUAGUUAUCACGAAGAACUCUGAUUGCGAAGGCAGCUCACUGGACUGCAACUGACACUGAGGCUCGAAAGUGUGGGUAUCAAACAGGAUUAGAUACCCCAGUAGUC
rnacentral:rRNA from 1 species